rnacentral:rRNA from 1 species
AUUGAACGCUGGCGGCAGGCCUAACACAUGCAAGUCGAACGAGUGGCGGACGGGUGAGUAAUGUCUGGGAAACUGCCUGAUGGAGGGGGAUAACUACUGGAAACGGUAGCUAAUACCGCAUACCAUCAGAUGUGCCCAGAUGGGAUUAGCUUGUAGGUGGGGUAAAGGCUCACCUAGGCGACGAUCCCUAGCUGGGCUGAGAGGAUGACCGGCCACACUGGAACUGAUACACGGUCCAGACUCCUACGGGAGGCAGCAGUGGGGAAUAUUGCACAAUGGGCGCAAGCCUGAUUCAGCCAUGCCGCGUGUAUGAAGAAGGCCGUCGGGUUGUAAAGUACUUUCAGCGGGGAGGCGUUACCCGCAGAAGAAGCACCGGCUAACUCCGUGCCAGCCGCCGCGGUAAUAC